AACAUCGCGCACCUGCGGGAACCUGCGGAGGGAUCAUUACCGAGUUGGGGUAGUCACUCACUGCCCGACCUCCCAACCCUGUGUCUACCACACUUUGUCGUUGCUUCGGCGGACCGGUUGACCAACUGGUCGUGACCGCCGGGGGCUGGUUCUGUCCCCCCUUGGAGAGCGUCCGCCGAUGGCCACACCACAAAAACUCUCGUACCGAAACGUGUCGUCUGAAUUAUAUUUGAGAAAUCA
rnacentral:misc_RNA from 1 species